rnacentral:lncRNA from 1 species
AUAUCAGAAGAAGGGGGCGUGGCAUCGAGCGGAGUCCUUCGGAUUCUUUUCCCAUAUGGGUUAUUACAGAAUAUUGAGGACAGUUCCCUGUUCUAUACAGUAAGUCCUUGUUGAUUAUCUAUUUUAUAUAGAGUAGUGUGUAUAUGUUAAUCCCCAGCUCCUAAUUUAUCCCCCCCCAACACAUUUCCCAUUUUGGUAACCAUAAGUUUGUUUUCAAAGUCUGUGAGUCUGUUUAUGUUUUGUAAAUAAGUUCACUUGUAUCUUUUUUUUUUAGAUUCCACAUAUAAGUAAUAUCAUAUGGUAUUUGUCUUCCUCUAACUCACUUCACUCAGUAUUAUAAUCUCUGUAAUCUCAUUUGUUGCUGCAAAUGGCAUUAUUUCGUUAUUUUUUAUGGCUAAGUAGUAUUCCAUUGUAUAUAUGCACCAUAUCUUCUUUAUCCAUUCCUCUGUUGAUGGACAUUUAGAUUGCUUCCAUGUCUUGACUAUUGUAAACUGUGCUGCAAUGAAAAAUGCAACUGAUUUUUGUGGGAUAAUUUUGAACUCUGUAACUUUGCUAAAUUUUUUAGUUCUAACAGUUUUUUAGUUUUCAUUUUUAUAUUUGGCUGCACCCAAGGCAUGAGGAAGUUCCUAGGCCAGGAAUCAAAUCUAUGCCACAGCACUCACGGCAACACCGGAUCGUUAACCCACUGAGCAAGGGCAGGGAUCGAACCUGCAACCUCAUGGUUCCUAGUCAGAUUCGUUAACCACUGCGCCACGACAGGAACUCCAACUUUUCAACCUGUAAAACAAAAACCCUAUAUCCGUUAAGCAACAAUUCUCCUUUUCCCCUCCUCUAGGCUGGUAACCACCCAUCUACUUUUUGUUUCUAUGAAUUUGACUAUUUAAAAUAGCUUAUGUAGGAGUUCCCUCUGUGGUACAGUGGGUUAAGGAUCUGGUUUUGCCACAGCUAUGGCUUAGGACAUAGCUGCUACUCAUAUUUAAUCCUUGGCCUAGGAGAAAAUAGCUUUUAUAAUUGGAGUCAUACCCCAUAUCUUUUUGUGACUCAAAUUCAUUUACAAUAUGUCAUUUGAAUACAGUUUUGUUACUUUAUUAUUAUUAUUAUUAUUAUUUGGCCAUACCCACAGCAUGUGGAAAUUCCUGGGCCGGGAUUGAACCCACACUGUGGUUCAGGUCACAACUGCACUUUCAACCUGCACCACAGCUGCAGCAACACCAGAUCCUUAACCUGCUGCACCUCAAGGGAACUUCGCAUUUGAUAUACAGUUUUUAACUCAUUGAUUUUAAUUGUCCUCUUGGACAAUUUGUAGUUCCCACAUAUGUUUGGGCUAAUUUCUAGACUUGUCUCAUUGAUCUGUCUGCCUAUUUCUACGCAUGUACACAUUUGUCUUCAUUAUUGUAGCUUUCUGUUGCCUGCUGUUCUCACAUGUUUAUGCUUCCAAAUAAACUCCAGAAGUAUUUUAUUAAGUGUUCUACAAAAAUCCUUUUGGGAUUUUUUUUAUUGUUACUGCAUUAAAUAAAUAGAUCAAUUUUGAGAGGAUUGGCAUCACUACAAGAUUGACUCUUCCGUUUACAUUUAAUAAGACUUCACUCUAGCACACAAGAAAUUCACAAGAGUCCCGCUUUUCUUUUCCUCCCAUCUUUACCCACCCUCCCACUGAACGGACUAGGACCCGGUCCCUGAACACACUAUACAUUCUUCUGUCCCUCUUCUUUGCUCAGGCUGGUGUUUCUUCCUGAAAUGUCCUUCUCUCCUUCCCACAAUUUCUGCUGGUCCAUAUCCUACAUGUAUUUUAUAUCCCAUCGCAAAAUGCCUCUUUACCCUGAUUCCUCCAGCCAGAUGUGACUUCUCCCUCCUUUUAAACUCCAUAGCACUUGGUUUGCCACUUUAUUAAGUACUUGCCUCAAUUUGUCCGGUUAUAGCUCUUUCUGUGCUUUUCUUAUUGGUCCAUAAUUAACAAUUUUGUGUUAGAGCCACAGGUCUCAACUAGGAGUGCACAUCAGAAUCCAGGGAAAGUUUUUUUUUUUUUUUUUUGCUUUUUAGUGCUGCACUCACAUAUGGAAGUUCCUAGGCUAGGGGUUGAAUCAGAGCAAGGGCUGCUGCCCUAUACCACAACCACAGUAACACAGGAUCUGAGCUGUGUCUUCGACCUACACCACAGCUCACGGCAACGCCAGAUCCUUAACCCACUGAGCCAGGCCAGGGAUUGAAUCCGCAUCCUCAUGGAUACUAGUUGGAUUCAUUUCCGCUGUGCCACAAUGGGAAAUCCCAGGGAAAGCUUUUUUUUAAAUCCACAUGUUUUGGUCUCACUCUAGGAAAUUCUGACCUCAGGUAGGACUCUGACAUGGGUAUAUUGCAUGCGUAUUCUUUUUUUUUUUUUCUUUUGCCAUACCCACAGUAUGGGGAUGUUCCCUGUGCCAGUGACAAUGCUGGAUCCUUAACCCACUGUACCAUAAGGGAACUUCCUUACAUAGGUAUUCCUAAAAAUCUCCACAGGUAUCCUGUGAGCCUAUGGUUGAGAAUCACUGUUUUCAGGUAAACCUCAUAAACUCCUAAAUAUCUUAUAUGUAUGUAUAUACUGCCAAUGUCUUGAGUGUGGGCUUCCUGAGUAGAAAACCUAUCUAUGUCUCGGGAGUUCCUGUCAUGGCGCAGUGGUUAACGAAUCCGACUAGGAACCAUGAGGUUGUGGUUUCAAUCCCUGGCCUUGCUCAGUGGGUUAACGAUCUGGCGUUCCCCUGAGCUAUGGUGUAGGUUGCCGAUGCGGCUGGGAUCCCACAUUGCUCUAUGGCUCUGGCGUAGGCCGGUGGCUACAGCUCCGAUUCAACCCCUAGCCUGGGAACCUCCAUAUGCCACAGGAGCGGCCCUAGAAAAGGCAAAAAGACAAAAAGACAAAAAAAAAAAAAAAAAAAAAAAAA